AUUGAACGCUGGCGGCAGGCCUAACACAUGCAAGUCGAGCGGAGCGGCGGACGGGUGAGUAAUGCCUAGGAAUCUGCCUGGUAGUGGGGGAUAACGUCCGGAAACGGGCGCUAAUACCGCAUACUAUCAGAUGAGCCUAGGUCGGAUUAGCUAGUUGGUGGGGUAAAGGCCUACCAAGGCGACGAUCCGUAACUGGUCUGAGAGGAUGAUCAGUCACACUGGAACAGAGAACCGGUCCAGGCUCCUUCCGGAGGCGGCAGUGGGGAAUAGUAGCAAAUGGGCGAAAGGCUUGACAAGCCAUGCCGCGUGUUAUAAGAAGGUCUACGGAUUUUAAAUCACUUUAAGUUGUGAGGCGUUACCAACAGAGUAAGCACCGGCUAACUUCGGGACAGCAGACGCGGUAAUUC
rnacentral:rRNA from 1 species